rnacentral:rRNA from 1 species
UACGUAGGGUGCAAGCGUUGUCCGGAAUUAUUGGGCGUAAAGAGCUCGUAGGCGGUCUGUCGCGUCUGCUGUGAAAACUCAGGGCUUAACCCUGAGCUUGCAGUGGGUACGGGCAGACUAGAGUGCGGUAGGGGAGACUGGAAUUCCUGGUGUAGCGGUGAAAUGCGCAGAUAUCAGGAGGAACACCGGUGGCGAAGGCGGGUCUCUGGGCCGUAACUGACGCUGGAGGAGCGGAAAGCAUGGGAGCGAACAGG